rnacentral:lncRNA from 1 species
UAAAAAAAAAAGCUUUGUAUUCUCUUGGGUAAAUUAUUCUUAUUAGCAACAGAUAUUAAUAGAAGGAGUAUAGCAGUAACCUAGAACAUUUUCCAGAAACCCUUCUAAUACUUCCAUGACUCAUUGUAAAUAUUAAUGAACAACCACAGCAAUUAAUCACAGGCAGGACCACAGGGUCUCGGAUCCUUCAACGGUGAAGUUUGUGUCACCCUACCAGCAAACAACUUCAAGAUAUUGAGGCUGAUGUUCAGACAAAAGAGGUACUGUCUCCCAGAAGACAAAGGAAAUCUCAAUACUGCAAUUAUAUGAAAAAGUUAUAGCAAAACCAAAGCCCUCAUGGAUAACUGCUGUUGAUAUUUUGGCAGUAUUCAGAAAUGCCAAAGAGCUCAAGACCUCUACUUGCAUAUCCAUGGCAAUCUGUCCUCUUGCCUUGAAAGAGUCCAAGCUUCUGAGAAUGCAGGAUAGAUAAUAUCCUAUGGAUUGAUUUCUCAGGUUCACUUUGCAUAACUAUAGACUAUAGUUCCUGGAAUUACUUCAGUUUUGGCAGAACAUGAUUUGAAAAAUUCACCUUGACUCUCUUAUAAAAAGGACUAUAAAAUUUUUUAGGAAAUCAACUACCAAAAAAAGGACUGUUUUUAAAAUAGAGCAAUGAGGCACAUAAGCCACAUUUAUCUAUAGGAAGAAUCUAAAACUGUAAUAAUAAAUGUGCAUUUGUGGGGAAUGAUUCAUUUUAUUUCAAAGUAAUGAUUUUUCAGUACUUAUAAUUAUGACAGUCAUUAAUUAACUGUGUUUAUCCUUUCUAGAAUUAAAACAAUAAACAGAGGAAAACAUUGGAACUCUGCUGCUUCAUUAUUAACAGAGUCUGACAAGUUACUAAACAAUACAAGGUAAAAGUAACUUUUAAAACAUGUUAGUUUUUGAAAAAUAAGUCACAAACUGACUACUUGUUCUUGGCUUCUCCGGGAAGAACUCUCUUUUCCAGUAAAAAAGGUAAUCAGCAAUGCAUUUAUUAACAUUUAUAAUGUUAUAAUGUUUAUAACAGUUAAUGAUAUAAAUUUAUUUUAAUAAAUUUGUUUUUUACUCUUCUCUGAUUCUACAUGCUCAUUAUCAUUCAGCUUUUUUCUAUGUAAUAAAUAUGUACUGAAUUAUUGUAAUUCACUAGAUUCAGA